UACGAAGGGGGCGAGCGUUAUUCGGAAUCACUGGGCGUAAAGCGUGCGUAGGCCGUCUAGCAAGUUGGAAGUGAAAGCCCAGGGCUCAACCCUGGAAUUGCUUUCAAAACUGCAAGACUAGAGUCCGGGAGAGGAUAGCGGAAUUCCAGUGUAGUAGUGAAAUACGUAGAUAUUGGAAGGAACACCAGUGGCGCAAGCGGCUAUCUGGACCGGUACUGACGCUGAGGCACGAAAGCGUGGGGAUCAAACAGG
rnacentral:rRNA from 1 species